rnacentral:rRNA from 1 species
UACGUAGGUGGCAAGCGUUGUCCGGAUUUACUGGGCGUAAAGAGCGCGCAGGCGGUCGUUCAAGUCGCGUGUGAAAGCCCCCGGCCCAACUGGGGAGGGUCACGCGAUACUGAUCGACUCGAAGGCAGGAGAGGGAAGUGGAAUUCCCGGUGUAGUGGUGAAAUGCGUAGAUAUCGGGAGGAACACCAGUGGCGAAGGCGACUUCCUGGCCUGUUCUUGACGCUGAGGCGCGAAAGCUAGGGGAGCAAACGGG